CCAUAUGUUGAAGUCUACUCUGUCACUGUCUGUGAAUUACAGGGGGUUAGUUGAACGCCACUUGGCCCUUGCUCCAUGGGCGUCCAUUUGAGCAACAGAAGAGGGGGAAUCUUUUCAAUUCAGGAGCAUCAGAGCAGUGACAAAGCAUUUCCAUGGCCAUUGCAGCAGCAAUUCUUUUUUCUGCAUAUACUCUGGAGACCUACUCCAUCAUCAACCCAGCUCAGGGUUUUUCAGGUUUAAUGUUGAAUAAAAACUCCGAGGACAGAUGGGUUGAUUGAUGUGUGUGCUUUGGUGCUCUAAUUCCCACCAUGGAAAUUGGAUUCUCUCACAUCUGGGGGCUGCCAAAAUAUCAAAACCUAACCUAACCUAACCUAAAUCCAGCUUUUUAUCUGUAAUUUUUUUUUUUUUUUUCUUUUCGAAUCUCACACGGACAUAUUCAAAUCUGAAUCAGUAAUCAGUAGAAACGAGUAUGAGGAAUAAUCCAUUUGGAAUAAAGCCAGUCGUAAAUGCUUCAGAAUGGAAAAAGAUUGGAAUAAAGCCAGUCGUAAAUGCUUCAGAAUGGAAAAAGAUUGGCAUUUAAGGCA